rnacentral:rRNA from 1 species
UGCGGAGGAUGCGAGCGUUAUCCGGAUUUAUUGGGUUUAAAGGGUGCGUAGGCGGAAUAUCAAGUCAGCGGUAAAAAUUCGGGGCUCAACCCCGUCGUGCCGUUGAAACUGAUGUUCUUGAGUGGGCGAGAAGUAUGCGGAAUGCAUGGUGUAGCGGUGAAAUGCAUAGAUAUCACGCAGAACUCCGAUUGCGAAGGCAGCAUACCGGCGCCCAACUGACGCUGAAGCACGAAAGCGUGGGUAUCGAACAGG